GAUCAAGCGCAAGUUAAGGGCAUUCGGUGGAUGCCUUGGCACCGAGAGGCGAUGAAGGACGUGGCACUCUGCGAUAAGCUACGGGGAGGCGAGAGCAGCCUUUGAUCCGUGGAUGUCCGAAUGGGGAAACCCGGCCCUUUAGGGUCAUCUCCGCAAGGAGAGGCGAACCCGGCGAACUGAAACAUCUCAGUAGCCGGAGGAAAGGAAAUCAAACGAGACUCCGCUAGUAGUGGCGAGCGAACGCGGACUAGCCCAGUGGCCACUUGAAGAUGUACCGGAAGCGUCUGGAAAGUCGCGCCAGAGCGGGUGACAGCCCCGUACGGGAAGCAGCUUCUUGUGGUCCUCGAGUAGGGCGGGACACGUGAAAUCCUGUCUGAACAUGGGGGGACCACCCUCCAAGGCUAAGUACUCCUCGGUGACCGAUAGUGGACGAGUACCGUGAGGGAAAGGUGAAAAGCACCCCGACGAGGGGAGUGAAAUAGAUCCUGAAACCGGAUGUCUACAAGCAGUGGAAGCCCGCGAGGGCGACCGCGUACCUUUUGUAUAAUGGGUCAGCGAGUUGAUCUUUCAGGCAAGCUUAAGCCGCUAGGUGUAGGCGCAGCGAAAGCGAGUCUGAAUAGGGCGUCUAAGUCUGAAGGAUCAGACCCGAAACCGGGUGAUCUAGCCAUGGGCAGGCUGAAGGUGGGGUAACACCCACUGGAGGGCCGAACCCACGUCUGUUGAAAAAGACGGGGAUGACCUGUGGCUAGGGGUGAAAGGCCAAUCAAACCCGGAGAUAGCUGGUUCUCCGCGAAAGCUAUUUAGGUAGCGCGUCAGGUAUCGCCCUCGGGGGUAGAGCACUGGAUGGGCUAGGGGGGCGCGAGCCUUACCAAACCUAACCAAACUCCGAAUACCGAGGAGCGUCGAGCCUGGCAGACAGACGGCGGGUGCUAAGGUCCGUCGUCGAGAGGGAAACAGCCCAGACCGCCAGCUAAGGUCCCCAAAUCAUGGCUAAGUGGGAAAGGAUGUGGGAAGGCCAAGACAACCAGGAGGUUGGCUUAGAAGCAGCCAUCCUUUGAAGAAAGCGUAAUAGCUCACUGGUCUAGUUAAGCCGUCCUGCGCCGAAAAUGUACCGGGGCUCAAGCCAUGUACCGAAGCUGCGGAUCCGAGCUUGCUCGGAUGGUAGCGGAGCGUUGCCUAGGCCGGUGAAGCCGGACCCGCGAGGGCCGGUGGAGGUAUGGCAAGUGCGAAUGCUGACAUGAGUAGCGACAAAGCGGGUGAGAAACCCGCUCGCCGCAAGUCCAAGGGUUCCUGCGCAAGGCUAAUCCGCGCAGGGUGAGCCGGCCCCUAAGCCGAGGGCGAAGGCCGUAGGCGAUGGGAACCAGGUCAAGAUUCCUGGGCCCGCGGGUGGUGACGGAUGGCAGGUGUCGUACGGGCUUAUCGGAUUGCCCGUGCGGCUGAGCCGUUCCAGGAAACAGCCCCCGCAAAUGGACCGUACCCUAAACCGACACAGGUGGACUGGUAGAGUAUACCGAGGCGCUUGAGAGAACUGUGCUGAAGGAACUCGGCAAAUUACCCGCGUAACUUCGGGAGAAGCGGGCCCCGUUUCUGGGCAACCAGGGGCGGGGGGCACAGACCAGGGGG
rfam:Tistlia consotensis strain TSBA 355 genome assembly, contig: Ga0111602_167